GAAGAGAUUCUUCCCCGUUCCCACAAGCAAGAGGGUCUUCAUGUUCAUUGGUGUGGCCAUGAUCAUCGCAGUGCUAGGAACGGCCGGCUACAUCUUCUACAAGGGUCCUGAUUCCAAGACUAAACAUCUCGUAGCAUCUGAACCUCCCACAAAUCCACCUGCUGAAGGACGAGCUGAAGAAGAUAAUUCAGC